UGGAUCACUUGAGGCCAAGAGCUCAAGGCUGUAGCGUACACAGCCUUGAAUUCUUGGCCUCAAGUGAUCCC
rnacentral:miRNA from 1 species